rnacentral:rRNA from 1 species
AUUGAACGCUGGCGGCAGGCCUAACACAUGCAAGUCGAGCGGAUGAAGGGAGCUUGCUCCUGGAUUCAGCGGCGGACGGGUGAGUAAUGCCUAGGAAUCUGCCUGGUAGUGGGGGAUAACGUCCGGAAACGGGCGCUAAUACCGCAUACGUCCUGAGGGAGAAAGUGGGGGAUCUUCGGACCUCACGCUAUCAGAUGAGCCUAGGUCGGAUUAGCUAGUUGGUGGGGUAAAGGCCUACCAAGGCGACGAUCCGUAACUGGUCUGAGAGGAUGAUCAGUCACACUGGAACUGAGACACGGUCCAGACUCCUACGGGAGGCAGCAGUGGGGAAUAUUGGACAAUGGGCGAAAGCCUGAUCCAGCCAUGCCGCGUGUGUGAAGAAGGUCUUCGGAUUGUAAAGCACUUUAAGUUGGGAGGAGGGGCAGUAAGCUAAUACCUUGCUGUUUUGACGUUACCAACAGAAUAAGCACCGGCUAACUUCGUG